GGGCCCGCUGGGAAAAGUGCACCCCACGCAGAACGGCUGACAGGUGCCCCUCCUUCCUGGGACCUGUGGUGUUCCACGGGCUCUCCUAGUCUUGGGCGGGGGGACUCCUGGGCACCCACAGAACCACUGAGGCCCCGGGCUAGGAGGACAGGGGACAGGUCCCUCAGGCCAUCCACCACCUCUGACCUGGUCCUGGAGAGACAACUCGGGUAAUUUCUGGAGGUCUUCGUGGUGAUGCUGAGCAAGCCCCACGGCACAGGAAAAAGCAGUUUGCCCCUGGGGCUCAUCAGCCGAGCCAAAUGAGGAGCAGAGGGGUGGGCAUCCUGAGUGUGGCCUCCACGCGUGGGAACCCCACGGGCACCAGCUACGGCACCCGGGUUGAGCAAGACCCAAUGCUGUCACUGCAAGAGCGCGGGCACCCUUGGUGUGUUUGUGGGUUCCCGAGCCCCAUCCUCUGGGGGUUCAGCUAACCUGAAACAUCAGGAAGAGGCAGGGCUAGGCUUCCGGGUUCAGUCUGCCGAGAGCCUGCACUCAGGGGGGCUCCCCUGGCCCCCAGUUCCCUGCCCUCUCUCCUGGCAGAGCCCUGCUGGCCUCUGCUUGAGUACGUGGACCCAGGAAGGAAGGAGCAGGGGAGCCUGCCCCAGGGAGUGCGGGUUCCAGGGCAGGAGCCCAGCCUCCCACCUGCCAGGAGCCUGCCCCAGGGAGAAGCUUGGGCUGGGGGGGCAGGUGUCAGGCCGGGUGCUAAUGGCCUGGUCUACUGUGGACAGAGCGUGUCCCCAUCUGAUACAAGGGGACCCUUUCUGCCUCAGGGAGCUGAUGUGAGCAUCCAUGCGAGAGCAGACGGUGGGAGACAGCCUUCACCUGCAUGUGGUUUGGGGACCCUCAGCUCAUUCUGAUCCCAGAACGUUUCUUGGCUGCUGGAUAGGAACUGGCACCCUUCAAUGACUUGUGGCUCAAGAAUCAAAGGUCAGCUGCCUACAAGGGAGCCGGCUCAGCUAGCACGUUCCGCUCCUUCCGUGUCCCUGUACGUCCAGGCACUACUAAGCCGAACAUCAGACUGUGAACAUGUGUUUACACCUUAGGUGGAUGUUACCACUCGCCAUCACCGAAACAAAACGCACAGCAGCAACAACAACCAAACCCGACACAGGCAGACGCAACUGGGAGUAUUCUCGUGUGCACCUGCUAGAGCUUGUCCAGGGCUUUCCUGCUUUGUCGGGUGGGACACUUUCACGUUUGUCAGCACUUGCUGAAUUGUUCCCCUAAGUAGCUCCACACAUCGAACUCUCUCCCCCAGGCCAAGGGUCUGGAGGCCCUGGGUGGUUCCAGGUAGAUCCCCGGUCACUGGGCAGAGAAUAAAUUUGUACAAAUUCUCACAAUUAUAUUUUAAAAGCCUUCCAAGUGUGUGUGCAUUUGGCCUGGAAAUCCUGGCCUGGGAAAUGGGUUCUCAAGAAACAGCGGACACGUGCCCAUGGAUUUACGUGGGAGGAUGUGUGCUCCUUCCGGACACGCGUCGAGGCCCGCGAGCACCACCGUGGCCCCCGCCAUCUCUGCGCCACCUCUUUGUAGCCAGACCGUCCCCACCCCAACGUGGCAAUCACUGACGCCCUUUGCCCCUUCCAGAACGUCCCAGAAAGGGAAUUAUGCCAGAUCUUUGCAUCUGGUUUUUCCCACUCAGUGUAAUCGGAGACUCAGUCAUGUUGUUUGGGAAUCAGCGGUUUGUUCUUGGUCUCUGACUAGCACACGUACGCACGUACGUUUGUCACAUCUGCUGGUGUGCGUUGUGUGGCUUCCAGUUUGGGGCUGUUUCAAAUCAGCCGUACGCACCUUCCUGUACAGGUCUACGGAUGGGUGCACGAGUCACUGCUCCUGGGUGAAGACCCAGAGUGGGCUGCUGGCUGGCAGGUGAGCGUGCUCACGUCCUUGUUCUUCAAGCUUUUUCAUGCAUUUAAAAAUCUACAGUUCUCUUUCUUUCCAAUCAUUUACCUAUUAUUUCUUUUUCUUGCUUCAUUGCACUGGCUAGGACUUCUAGCACAAGACUGCCAGGCUUUGUUCCCGACCUCGGGGGGGAGGGUUCCAUCUUUCAUUACUGCGUAUGUCAUCAGCUGCAGGUGUUCUCGAUCACGUGAAGGAAAUUCCCUUCCAUUUCUAUAUUGUUGAAAGUUUUUGUUUUAACCGUUAAUGGAUAUUGAAUUUUUUCAAAUGCUUUUCCUACAUCUAUUGAGAUGAUCACGUGACUUUUCUUCUUCAGUGCGUUAAUGUUAUAAAUUAUACUGAUUGAUUUUCAAAUGUUGAACCCGGAUUGCUUUCCUGGGAAAACUCAUCCUGGUCAUGAUGUGGUAUCCUUUUUAUACGUUGCAGUUGAUUUGCUAAUAUUUGUUGAGGAGUUUUGCAUCUAUGUUCAUGAGAUGUUGGUCUGUAUUUUCUCUUUUCUUGCAACGUCUUUGUCCGGUUUGGCCCGGAUAAUACUGGUCUCACAGAGUGAGUUGGGAAGUACUCUGUCUUCUUCUAUUUUCUGGAAGGUAGUGUGCAGAACGGAUAUUAUUUCAAUUUCCUUACAUUUUUGGGUAGAAUUCACCAGCGAAACCACUAAGACUGGAGUCUUCUUUUUCAAAGAUUUUAAACUGUGAAUUGAAUUAAAAAAUUUUUUUUUACAUGUAUUCAUUUUUGAGAGACAGAGAGAGAGCACGAGCAAGGGAGGGGCAGAGACAGAGGAAGACACAGGAUCCGAAGCAGGCUCAUCUCCGAGCUGUCCGACGCGGGGCUUGAACCCACGAACCGUGAGAUCACGACCUGAGCCCAAGUCAGAUGCUCAACUGACUGAGCCACCCGGGCGCCCCUAUCCACUUCUUCUUGAGUGAGUUUUGGUGAUUGAACAUGUUUUUAAUUUUAAUUGUUUUACAAAAUGAACACAUGCGUAUAAUUAAAAAAAAAAAACUCGGUAAAUACUAAAAGGCUUAUUGGAAGAAAAGAGUACUCUCACCCCAACUCUUAUCUCCCGGAGGCAAUAGUUUUCUAUUUUACUCGGUUUUUCUGACAGUUAUUUCCGUAUUUUUUUUUCAUAAUAUGUGUAUCUGGCUCCUUACAGGCAUACGAACUUCAUGCAUUUGUGCUGACUUUGUGUUCAGGAUCUGGUUCCCUUACCUCCCCCACCUCACCACCCCCGCCACACCCAUGACCCUUUUCCUUCAAAAAUAGUUUUGUCACAUUCUGGGGUAAAAUCGGUAAUUAUUAAGAUAAUGUAAAUCUUGUUCACUGCUGGCCCCAGGUAGUGGUGUACGAUUAUGGCUUUUUCCCUCAUAAAGUGUUUUCCUUUUCUUAAA